rnacentral:tRNA from 1 species
ACUGGUGUAGUGAUUAUGUUUUCCGUUUCGGCCGGAGAUAAGGUAGUGAGUACCCUACACUUGUG